rnacentral:rRNA from 1 species
GACGAACGCUGGCGGCGCGCUUAACACAUGCAAGUCGAACGGAAAGGCCUGCUUUCCCUUGUGGAUUGCGGGUACUCGAGUGGCGAACGGGUGAGUAACACGUGAGUGAUCUGCCCCCAACUUGGGUAUAAGCCUGGGAAACUGGGUCUAAUUCCCGAUAGGACUGCAGGGUGGUGCCUGUGGUGGAAAACGAUUUUCUAGUGGUUGGGGAUGAGCUCGCGGCCUAUCAGCUUGUUGGUGGGGUAAUGGCCUACCAAGGCGGGGACGGGUAGCCGGCCUGAGAGGGUGGAAGGCGACAUUGGGACUGAGAAAAGGCCCAGACUCGUACGGGAGGCAGCAGAGGGGAAGAAAGGAGAAAGGGCGGAAGGCAGAAGCAGCGACGGAGCGUGGGGGAUGACGGCAUUCGGGUUGUAAACUCCUAUCGAACGAGAGGAAGCCAACUGGUUGGAAGGGUGGUGACGGUAGUGGUAGAAGAAGCACCGGCUAACUACGUG